ensembl:lncRNA
AUGAUCUUUGGAAGUGGAACCAGUUUAACCAUUGAACCCAAGACCGUGUCCAAGCCGUCCUUCUACAAGCUGUCGGGCGACGGCACGUCGGCGUGUUUGGCGUCAGACUUCAGCCGGAAGAAAGCGGCCGAGGAGCAGCACGCCAUCUUCAGCCGCAGCGCGGCGGUGUUGGUCGAAAAAGUGUCACUGUACAACCAGCUGGUCCUGUUGACCUCUGAGGGGGAGGAGGAGGCGUGUGAGCAGGCUGAAGACGACUCUGAUGUCUGUGGAGAACCUGUUAAACCAGAUGGGAGGGUGAAUCUGAUGUCUGUCACCAUGUUGGGUCUCCGGCUGCUUUUCUUCAAAACCGUAGUGUUCAAUGUGCUGAUGACUCUGAGGCUGUGGAUCAGUCAGUGA